rnacentral:tRNA from 1 species
CAUUAGAUGGCUGAAAAGUAAGCAAUGGAUUUUUAAACCAUUAAUAGUAAAUUAACAUCUACUUCUAAUGA